rnacentral:rRNA from 1 species
GGCUUAUUGAUAAGGAUUUUAAGUCUAGCCUGCCCCCUGAAAUAUUUAAAUGGCCGCAGUAUUUUGACUGUGCUAAGGUAGCAUAAUAAUUAGUUUUUUAAUUGAAAGCUGGUAUGAAUGGUAUAAUGAGAAAAUUACUGUCUCUUUUAAAAAAUUAAAAUUUUAUUUUUAAGUUAAAAAGCUUAAAUAUUAAUAAAAGACGAGAAGACCCUAUAGAAUUUUAUUUAAUUUUAUUUUUAAUAAUAAAGUAUCUAAAAUUUAAAUAUAAACUUAUAUUUAGUUGGGGUGAUUAGAAAAAUUAAAUAUCUUUUUUUUAUAAUAACAUUGAUUUAUGAUUAUAUGAUUCAUAUUAGUGAUUUAAGAAUAAAUUACCUUAGGGAUAACAGCGUAAUUUUUUUUUAGAGUUCAAAUCAAAAAGAAAGAUUGCGACCUCGAUGUUGGAUUAAAAUUUAUUUUUGGUGUAGUUGCUGAAAUAUUAAGUCUGUUCGACUUUAAAAAUUUUACA